rnacentral:tRNA from 1 species
CAGGGGAUAGUUUAAUGUAAAAUAUUAAUUUUGGAGGUUAAUGAUAAAGGUUUCUUUUCCCUUGA